CACCGCGGUUAUACGAAAGGCCCAAGUCGACAGUCACCGGCGUAAAGCAUGAUAAGGGACAAAACCUAACUAAAGCUAAACCCUUCGCCCGCCGUCACACGCCCCCAGACUGAUGAGACCCCCUCACGAAAGUAGCUCUACCCCGCCUGAACCAUGAUAACUAAGAAA
rnacentral:rRNA from 1 species